ACCGCCUUCCUCUCUACAAUAUAGGAAUCGGUGCUUGUUGGUUUCUUUGAAUAAUUUCUGAUGGCUUCUUCCGAGAAUAAAAAAUCGGAGAAACCCACUUCUUCCGCUGCGAUCCAUAUGCACGAAGCGCUAACCCCGGAACGACUUGACGGCAGCAACUAUGACGAGUGGUCGUUGAAUGCGCAAAACAAGAUCAGAGGCAGAAAACGUUGGG
rnacentral:lncRNA from 1 species